UCCGGCUCUUCACCGGCAGUCCCCUUAGAGUCCCCAACUAAAUGAUGGCAACUAAGGGCAAGGGUUGCGCUCGUUACGGGACUUAACCCAACAUCUCACAACACGAGCUGACGACAGCCAUGCAGCACCUGUCUCUGAGCUCCUCUCGGCACUGCCUAAUCUCUUAAGCAUUCUCAGGAUGUCAAAAGUAGGUAAGGUUCUUCGCGUUGCAUCGAAUUAAACCACAUGCUCCACCGCUUGUGCGGGCCCCCGUCAAUUCCUUUGAGUUUCAACCUUGCGGCCGUACUUCCCAGGCGGAGAACUUAUCGCGUUUGCUUCGACACUAAAUGGUUCCCCAUCCAACAUCUAGUUCUCAUCGUUUACAGCGUGGACUAC
rnacentral:misc_RNA from 1 species